UUGUCCUACGGGGCGCAGCAGUGGGGAAUAUUGCACAAUGGGGGAAACCCUGAUGCAGCAACGCCGCGUGAGUGAGGAAGUAUUUCGGUAUGUAAAGCUCUAUCGGCAGGGAAUAGAAAAGAAGGUACCUGAAAAAGAAGCCCCGGCUAACUACGUGCCAGCAGCCGCGGUAAUACGUAGGGGGCAAGCGUUAUCCGGAUUUACUGGGGGUAAAGGGAGCGUAGACGGAGAGGAAAGUCAGAAGUGAAAACCCAAGGCUCAACCAUGGGACUGCUUUUGAAACUGUCAAACUAGAGUACGGGAGG
rnacentral:rRNA from 1 species